rnacentral:rRNA from 1 species
UACAGAGGGGGCAAGCGUUGUUCGGAAUUACUGGGCGUAAAGGGCGCGUAGGCGGCCUGCUAAGUCGAACGUGAAAUCCCCGGGCUCAACUCGGGAACUGCGUCCGAUACUGGCAGGCUUGAAUCCGGGAGAGGGAUGCGGAAUUCCAGGUGUAGCGGUGAAAUGCGUAGAUAUCUGGAGGAACACCGGUGGCGAAGGCGGCAUCCUGGACCGGCAUUGACGCUGAGGCGCGAAAGCCAGGGGAGCAAACGGG